rnacentral:rRNA from 1 species
GACGAACGCUGGCGGCGUGCUUAACACAUGCAAGUCGAACGGUGAAGGGAUCAGCUUGCUGGUUCUGGAUGAGUGGCGAACGGGUGAGUAACACGUGAGUAACCUGCCCCCUUCUUCUGGAUAACCGCAUGAAAGUGUGGCUAAUACGGGAUAUUCUGCGCCCGCUGCAUGGUGGGUGUGGGAAAGAUAUUGUUUCGGUGGGGGAUGGGCUCGCGGCCUAUCAGCUUGUUGGUGGGGUGAUGGCCUACCAAGGCGGUGACGGGUAGCCGGCCUGAGAGGGUGGACGGUCACACUGGGACUGAGACACGGCCCAGACUCCUACGGGAGGCAGCAGUGGGGAAUAUUGCACAAUGGGCGCAAGCCUGAUGCAGCGACGCCGCGUGAGGGAUGGAGGCCUUCGGGUUGUGAACCUCUUUCGCCAGUGAAGCAGGCCUGUCCCGUGUGGGUGGGUUGACGGUAGCUGGAUAAGAAGCGCCGGCUAACUACGUG